rnacentral:tRNA from 1 species
CGCGGAUACGCAACUGGUUGUAUGCGCCGGAUUCCGCAUCCGGGACGGGCACGACGUACGGUUCGACCGCGCGCUUCGCGU